UCCUACGGGAGGCAGCAGUGGGGAAUCUUGGACAAUGGGGGAAACCCUGAUCCAGCCAUGCCGCGUGAGUGAUGAAGGCCCUAGGGUUGUAAAACUCUUUCGGCGGGGACGAUAAUGACGGUACCCGCAGAAGAAGCUCCGGCUAACUUCGUGCCAGCAGCCGCGGUAAUACGAAGGGGGCUAGCGUUGCUCGGAAUGACUGGGCGUAAAGGGCGCGUAGGCGGACUGCACAGUCAGGCGUGAAAUUCCUGGGCUUAACCUGGGGACUGCGUCUGAGACGUGUGAUCUAGAGUGAGGAAGAGGGUCGUGGAAUUUCCAGUGUAGAGGUGAAAUUCGUAGAUAUUGGAAAGAACACCGGUGGCGAAGGCGGCGACCUGGUCCUUUACUGACGCUGAGGCGCGAAAGCGUGGGGAGCAAGCAGGAUUAGAUACCCUGGUAGUCCACGCUGUAAACGAUGUGUGCUUGAUGUUGGGGUGCUUAGCACUUCGGUGUCGGAGCUAACGCGGUAAGC
rnacentral:rRNA from 1 species